rnacentral:misc_RNA from 1 species
UACCAAAUUCCUCCACGCCAUUGAUUAACAAACGCAGCGGCAGCGAUAUUCUCUACGACAAUAAAACGUUAUUAUUCUUCACGGUGUCACUCUUACUCAAAAUUAAGAUUUUCUUCACGGAGAAAUUUGGAUUUGAAUUUUGAAAGUUGGACCUAAUAACUAAUUAAUUAUCUAAGUUUUCCACGGGGCAUGGGCUACCGGCGGCUGUGUAAGAUUUUCGCAGAGAGAGAGAGAGAGAGA